CCUACGGUCGGCAGCAGUGGGGAAUAUUGGACAAUGGGGGCAACCCUGAUCCAGCCAUGCCGCGUGUGUGAAGAAGGCCCUCGGGUUGUAAAGCACUUUCAGUGAGGAAGAACGCCUGGUGGUUAAUACCCAUCAGGAAAGACAUCACUCACAGAAGAAGCACCGGCUAACUCCGUGCCAGCAGCCGCGGUAAUACGGAGGGUGCGAGCGUUAAUCGGAAUUACUGGGCGUAAAGCGCGCGUAGGUGGCUUGAUAAGCCGGUUGUGAAAGCCCGGGCUCAACCUGGGAACGGCAUCCGGAACUGUCAAGCUAGAGUGCAGGAGAGGAAGGUAGAAUUCCCGGUGUAGCGGUGAAAUGCGUAGAGAUCGGGAGGAAUACCAGUGGCGAAGGCGGCCUUCUGGACUGACACUGACACUGAGGUGCGAAAGCGUGGGUAGCAAACAGGAUUAGAUACCACUGUAGUC
rnacentral:rRNA from 1 species